UAAAGGCAUGGUCCCGACCUUAUUAUCAGCUCCCACCCAACUUACACAUGCAAGUCUCCGCAGUCCCGUGAGUAUGCCCUUAAUCCCCCACCCGGGGACGAGGAGCGGGCAUCAGGCACAAAUUUUUAGCCCAAGACGCCUGGCCAAGCCACACCCCCAAGGGAAUUCAGCAGUGAUAAAUAUUAAGCCAUGAGUGAAAACUUGACUUAGUUAGAGUUAAUAAGGGCCGGUAAAACUCGUGCCAGCCACCGCGGUUAAACGAGGGGCCCUAGUUGAUAAAACCACGGCGUAAGGGGUGGUUAUGGAGAGCAAGACAAUUUUUUAAAGCCGAAUGGCCCUUUGGCCGUCAUACGCUUCUAGGUGUCCGAAGCCCUAUCACACGAAAGUAGCUUUAAUAGAGUCCACCUGACCCCACGAAAGCUGAGAAACAAACUGGGAUUAGAUACCCCACUAUGCUCAGCCGUAAACCUAGACAUCCAAUUACAAUAAGAUGUCCGCCCGGGUACUACGAGCAUCAGCUUGAAACCCAAAGGACCUGACGGUGCCUCAGACCCCCCUAGAGGAGCCUGUUCUAGAACCGAUAACCCCCGUUAAACCUCACCACUUCUAGCCAUCCCAGCCUAUAUACCGCCGUCGUCAGCUUACCCUGUGAAGGUAAUAGAAGUAAGCGCAAUGGGCACAACCCAGAACGUCAGGUCGAGGUGUAGCGCACGAAGUGGGAAGAAAUGGGCUACAUUUUCUACCACAGAAUACUACGGACACGCAACAUGAAAUAGUGCUUGAAGGAGGAUUUAGUAGUAAAAAGGAAGCAGAGUGUCCUUUUGAACCCGGCUCUGAGGCGCGUACACACCGCCCGUCACUCUCCCCUGUCAAAACGCAAUAAAGAUAAUUAACACUAAAGCACUGACAAGGGGAGGCAAGUCGUAACAUGGUAAGUGUACCGGAAGGUGCACUUGGACUAAACC
rnacentral:ncRNA from 1 species